rnacentral:lncRNA from 1 species
CCAAGAUACAGUGCCUUUUCCGUACGCUCCAAAUACCCAUACCAAAACAAUACCUGAAAAACAUGCAACACACUAUCAACUCGUUCAUUUGGGAGGGAAAAAAAGCGAGAGUAGCAGCAGGGACGAUACAUCGAUCAGUUAAAAAUGGAUUACCCAACCUAACAGCAUACCACAGGGCAGCCUACCUACAUAACAUCACCCAAAUCAACCGGCUUACAGACGUCCCACAGUGGGUGACGAUUGAAGAUAGCAAAGCACCACAAAGUGAUCUACGGUCACUAAUGUGGAAACAGACAGACAACAACUGGGGGCUGGACGCUCUCCUACCAACUACCAAAACCCUACUGCGAGUAUGGGACAAAAUGAAACACGAAUUAGUGUCAAGACCGACAUUACCCCUAGCAAUGCCAAUGCACACUAUUGGACUGGAGAUCCCUACCUUCCCUUGGGACAUGUGGGUGAAGGGUGGUAUACACCACGUGUACCAAGUUAUAGACAGGGGUCGAAUACUACCAUUCCCAGACAUACAAGAUAGGUACAACCUGCCCUCUAGAGCAGUAUUCUCCUACCUCCAGCUCAAAUCUUAUGUGUUGGACAAAGCAGGGAAACAAACGGACGCCACCGCUACGACACACAUGACAGAAUUCAAAAAACAAUGCACAGGAAUCACACCACUCAAGAAAAUAAUGUCCUGGGGAUACCAGAAACUACUAGCGCAACAAUCACACACACUAGGAGAGAUAAAGCUGUCAUGGCAGCGGGAUAUAGGCAGAAUAAUAACAGAUAGGGAAUGGGAGAGAGCAUACAUGGCCCACAAGGGGCUUACAGCAUGUGCUACACACCUGGAACUACAACGCAAAAUCUUAUACCGCUGGUAUUUAGUACCGGACAAAAUAUGGCCUACAACCAGCAAUAUAUGCUGGAGGUGUGGGAGGGAGGUGGGUACAAUGAUACACGUCUGGUGGACAUGCACCGUACUCAGACCAUUUUGGGAAGGGGUAGCAAAUAUACUGCAGAAGAUACUGCCAGCCCCAAGGGUAGAUGAACCACAGGUGUGUCUCUUAUUUAUCUUACCAGAAAAAAUACCAAAACAAGUCAAGCUGAUAAUAUACCACACACUAAUCUCAGCUAAUCUAGUGAUAUCCAGACAUUGGAAAAAAACAAUGACCCCACCUAUAGAGGAUCUCGUAAAGCAGGUAGACCAAAACUGGGCGUACGAAAGAAUGGCCAACACGCAAUUCAGAGCACGAAAAGGGGUACUGGAGGCACACGACCUGUGGGUAAAACAUAUUAUAAGCUCACCCACCAUAACACAUAACCACAACUACUCCAGCGUGACCAACAGCCCUUGAAAAAUAGGUUAAAAAGGCAUCACGAGGAGUGCCAACAGGCAAAGACACAGCAACCAAGCAACGCAUAGCAAACCCAAGAUAUGACACCCAGAGGUAGCCAAACUACGAAACACCAACAUACCUAGCGGCGGGAGGGAACCGCAAUGCUUGACAAGGGUAAAAAGCAGAACCAGACACUUGCACAAGCGCCCCCCAUCCAUGACGAACCUACACACAAAGGAACCCCACGAAGACAAUUAGACACAAACAAAGAACUGCACACAACCCAACGCCUUAACUAUGGCCAAAACCGACAAAAAGGGAACCGAUCAACAACACAGCAUGUAUUUGUAAAUUGUACAUGGAAAACUUCUGUAAAACAUCAAUGACUCUCUGGAACCAAGGAAAUCCAUGUUGCGCAUGUAUGUAGAUGUUUAUCCAUGCUGUACAUGUAUUCAUAUGAUUACACAUAGCUAUUGUCUGUGUAUUCAGCCUGCAAUAUGCCCCCCCCUCUUUCCUCGUUCUGUAUCCCCAUGUUUUUGACCUAUGACAAAAUAAAAAAUUGUCAGUUGCAAAAAAAAAAAAACAAUAAAGUGAUUCCACAAAGGUGUCAUAGAAGUAGUUCUGAAUGCUCAAAGGUUCCAAGGUGUAUAUUCAAGCAUAUUUGUUACACAAAAGCCAGGCAAAUCCUUCAGACCAAUUCUAGAUCUAAAUACUCUCAAUAAUUGUAUUCAGCACCAAACCUCCAAAAUAGAAACAAUUGCUUCAGCAACAUAUGUGUUACAAACAGGAGAUUUCUGGCAUCGCUGGAUCUAAAAGAUGCCUAUUUUCAUAUUCCAAGAAAUUUUUAAAAUUCAUCAUGAGAAAUUUGAGGAAAACCCUACAUUUUCAGUCUGUGGCUCUGCCAUUUAGCAUUGCUACUGCACCAAAGAUGUUUAAGAACAUUUUAGCUCCAAUUGCUGCAUUUCUACGAGCAAAGGGAAUCCUUAUUGUUCCAUGCAUGGAUGAUUGGUUCAUAAAGGCAGAAACCAAUGUCCAGUUAAAGGCUUAUCUGAAGGUCAAUCUUCUACACUACAAGAGAACGGUUGGGUAAUAAACUGAGAAAAGUCUAUUCUUCACCCUUCGGAAAAGGUUUUGUUUUUUUAGUCUAGGAAUCGACUCAAAAAGUUUACGCGUUCUGCUUCCGGCUCAGAAGAGGAGCAGCAAAGUUACCUCCAGUCUUCCAAACAACCCUAUUUAUUCCAUCAGACAGGCAAUGAGCUUGUUGGGUUUGCUGGCAUCCAGUAUCCCAGCAGUAAAAUGGUCAAAGGCUUAAAGCAGACUCCUCCAAGGAUAAAUUUUACGUCACUGAAACACUGAAGAUUAUGUCUCUCGGUUCACACUUGAGAAGACCUAACCUGGUGGAAAAAGUAAAAAUUCGUUUAUCAGGGCCUGUCUUUUACACAAACAGCUUGUGUAAAAAUUAAUACAGAUACUUCUAAAACCAGAUGGUGUGCACAUAUUGAUUCCUUAAUUGCUCAAGGAAGUUGAUUGGCAUAGAAGCCCUUGUAUAAUUCAAGCCAUACAGAUUCAAUCAGACAACAUCACCAUGCUAAUAUAUUUAAGCAAACAAGGAGGAACAAGAAGCCAAUCCCUGGCUGAUUUAUGUGCACUCCUUUUUGCAUUGGCAGAAAGGUACCUUCUCAGCGAUCAACAUAAAGGGUAUAGAAAAUCAACUAGCUAACAAUCUCAACAGGCAUCGCUGGAAACAGACAAACUGGUCUCUCAGCCAUCAGGUUUUCAACACACUGGUCAAGAAAUUUGGAUUACCGGAAAUAGACCUCCUGGCACAAGCUUUAAUCAGAAGGUUCCAAUGUUUGCUUCUAUUUAAAGACACUACAAAAAAGACAAUACAAUCCAGAUAUCCUAGUCUGUUUCUCUGUAAAAUUGACAUUUCAGAUAGUGUACAUUUUUCCCCCAGUGACCAUGAUUCAAAUUCUAGCAUGGUCAAGCUAAGGGCAUGGAAGCUACAAGGUUGAUCCUGUUGGAGAAGGGUAAUAAAGAACAGGUAGUCAACCUUCUCUUACAUUCUACAAGAAAGUCUACAUUGAAUAUAUACUUGCACAUAUGGCAUAAAUUCCUGAUAUGGUGUCGUCUGCAAAAUAUUGUCUCCUUCAUUACUCCUGUUCAAGUAAUCUUAGAAUUUCUUCAGGAACGUUUUAAGUUGUCUUUUUCCUUCCACUGUAAAAGUUCAAAUCUCUGCACAAAGUUAUUUUUUCACAUAAGAAAGUUCACUUAUGAAACACUUAUUAGAAGAUUCAGCAAAGCAAAGUGGAAACUUUGUCCUCUGAAAUGUCCUCUAAUUCCACGUUGGGAUUCUUCCCUGGUAUUAAAUGCAUUAUGUGCUGAACCAUUCCAACCAUUAAAAUUCUUGACACUAAAAUGAGUGUUUGGUUGCUUUAACUUUAGUAAAAAGAGUGUGAAAGUCAAACAUUUUUUUUGCAGCACCAGAGUUCAUGAUAUUCCACCACAAUAAGGUUGUCACAAGUCCAUAAUCUUCCUUUCAUUCAAAAGUAUGGAACAAAUAUAAUCUCAAUCAAGCUCUCAUAUUGCUAACUUUUUGUCAGAAUCCAGCCUCAUCCAAAUAUGCUUAUUUCCAUUGUUUGGAGCUUAAAAGCGCAUUGUUCAACUAUCGUGACAGAGUCAAGAAUUGGUGUAAAUCAGAUCAUUACCAAGGGCACUCUAUGGAUCUUCAAGCAUCCAGAGCUUUCUUUGCUCGAUGGAUUAAAAGGCAAUACAUCGGCUUAUUCUUCACAAGGUGGGUUUCUAACCUCCAAAGUUAAGGCUCAGUUCACUAGAGUCUUCACUUAUUUCCACUUAAUGAACAAAAAAAGCUAUGUUCACUCUAGAGGAUAUCUGCAAGGCUUUCAUCAAGCACUACAGGCUAGACAUCUCUGCCUUAGCGGAAGCAUAAUUUGGGCAGAAUAUUUUGCAAGCAGCUGUAUCUUAAUUCCCACCCUUCAGGCUUUUUCUUGCUAUCUCCCUAAUGUACUGACCUUAUACACAGGUAAAAAAAAGGAACUUUACCAUACCAUAAAUAAUUUUUUAUUAGUAUCAGUGGCAGUGCAAAUAUACUCUCUCUUCUUAAAUAAAGUUUGAUAUUUCUUUGCAGUAUACUGUUGUGGUGUAUUCUUUUGUGUGACUGAGUUGAUACUGUGCCCUGAAGGUAUUUAUUAGCUCUAACUUUUUUUUUAUAUUUAGGAAACUACUCGUCUCAUUAGACUUGAACAUACCUAACAUACUGCCGCUGAUACUAAAAUAUUUACGCCAAGUAAAAUUUCUGUUUUCCCCCCUAUUGGUCACUUGAUACAUGAAUGAAAU